rnacentral:tRNA from 1 species
GUUCAACCCCUUCCCCUAAUA